CACACACACUAGCAUGUGUAACAUACAGUGUCAACACACAUGUACAAAGCAUGUGUGAAGGUACAGUCGACGAUGUCGAUUUGUACAAACGUUCGAUGCGUUCAUGAUCAAGAGGCGGCGUUGUUUAGUUUAGUUUAGGGAGUGUACCAGGCCAUUUGCUGACUGGAGGUUAAUUAUGGUAUAGUCGUUUGAAAAGUUCCAGGGGCCGAUUUGGCAGCAGAGUGGUUUGCGAAAAGUGAAGGGAAACGGGACGAAAGGCGGGUAGGCGGAAGAUGUAAUGCAAGCCAUAAAUGCCGCCUGCUGUCGCGAGAUGAAAUGGGCCGAGGAACAGAGAAGGGGGUUAGAGAAAAGUCGAAGGAACCUCGCAAUAAGCUCAGAAUUAGUCUGGAUUUAUCGAUCACCCGCGCUGCCGCCACCAUUUUUAUACGAGACCAGUGACGGCGUUUCGUACGCAAAUUAUUAUCGUGUAAUUAUUUAACAGGACCGUAUGAUGUUUAUAAUCACUCGAAUAUCGUUUUUUUUUAUAAUUAUUCUAUAUAAUAAAACG